rnacentral:lncRNA from 1 species
GCCAAAACAUGACAUUCCACAGCUAUGAGAGAGUUAAUGAUGUAUGGUCACUUGGUCAAAGGUUGGUAACUCGACCCCCCCCCCCCCCUUCCAGAACACUUGUAAUAACUUAGCCAAACAAACCCCUAAUUGUAUACAUGGAUAAAGAACCCCCAAAACAAAAGACUUCCUGUUUCCCUCCCAAUGAUAAGACCCUUUCUCGGAACAGAUUGUGUAUAGCUAGAACACUGUGAGAGUGUAACUGUUAUAAAGGAAGGCAGAGGUAUUUGACAGAUUCACUCCUGCAUCUGCACCCCCAUCCAUGGGGCAGGCAGGGAGGUCGACUCUGCAAUCUUUUGGUGUAACAUGUCAUUAUAUAGGUGUUGACAAAUUACAAUCAACAUGUGAGAAGUGCGAACGAGAGGAAACGGUCCUCUAGGCCAGAUUGCCAGGGUGAGUGGGUUAUCAUAUUCAAUGUAUAAACCACUAAUUCAAUGUAGUUUUAAUUGGGAAAUUAUGUAUGAUUGUUUGACAAAGUUCACUUGAUGGUUGUAUUCAUUUAUUUGUUGGGAAAGUUAUCCAUAAAGAUGGAAGAACUUUAUUUGUGAUUAGAUACUUGUUAUUUUCAUGCGAUAUUGAUUAAGUUUUAAUGAAUGGAAUAUAAACAACCUGUUUAUCAUUUAUUAUCAUGAGUCGGCUUGACGUCAUAUUGUUGGAAUGCGUAUCUUGGAUUCAUGAACGAAUAUUAUGUUUAUCGCUAUUAUGUGUGUUUUUCAAACAUGUCCUCAUUUCUAUUUUAAUUGUUUUAACUUUGUUUAUUGGUUCAGGCUUUUACUUUGCACCUGAAAUAAAAAGAACCGCAACACAACGAAUGGUGUGAUCGAGUAUUUUCUACCAGUUUCUGCGUGUGAUCGGCGUGUUACAAAUGGCGUAAUCGGCAGGAUUUCAUCACUGCAAGUGCAAGCCCUGGCUUUCUGUGGAGCUCGAUAGUUUUGGGACAACUUGAUCGGACAUGGACGUCUGGAAACGUGUAAAUAUGGAUGUAGAUUUAAGUUGUAGCGAUUGUGUGUAUUGUAUGAGUGUUGUAGCUAAUUAGCCAGUGUGCUGUUUAAUUAUAAGGGGCUACAUUGUGUUUGUUUAGGGUAAUUUUAUUGAAAUUAUCUCGUAAUGGAAUACUUUAAUGUAUUCAGUUUAAAUUGUUUUGGGAAAAUUAAGGAAUAAUACUAUUCAUAUGUUGUGCAGACUGUCGUGAUACUGUGUUUGGAACAAUCCAUACCCCCUUUCGUAUUUAAUUUUGGCUGGUUGGAUGGAGCCUCAAAUUAAGGGAAGGCAUACAAAGACACCGGUAUUUUAUAAUAUUGAUAGGAGGGAUAGCAGUACAUGUAGGUGUAGAGCAGGUAUGAAGCUCUAGCUUUAUCCCUUAUGAAUAGUUGGAAUAUUCCUUUAUUUGAACUUGUAAAUUGUUGAGAUUUUAAGUUGGUCUUGAGAUUCGUUAAAGUUUCGGUAACUUAAGGAUAAGUUAGGUUUAGGUUGUAGUGUAUGUAUAUCACAUUUAUUGAAUUGAUAUGCAUGAUGUAUAUUUGUUAGUUUAAGGACUGCUUUUGAAAAAAGCAGGGGAGCCCAUGAACGUGAAAUGUUGUUUCAGUUUGGGUCAGCAAUUGUUCAGAGUAACUAUGUGCGUGUGUUGUGUAAUGGAUAUUGUAUUGUUUUAUACCGAGAUUUCUGGAAUGUAACUGGGAUUUGGCUGGAAUUACUGUUGGACUUAGUCGGGAUAGAGUAUUUAAUGUUUAUUCCGAAAACCUCGACACGAGACCGGAAUCAUUCAUGGUAGAAAUACUGGGGCGACUUUUAGGAACAGUAGGGUUUAUCUCUCUACCUUUGUUUUCUGUUAACCUUGUAGAGAGGCCGGAAAUGGCACAUUGGUAGCGGAGAGGAUUAGUCAAAAGUUAUAAGAUUUCUUUGUACAUUUCAAUGUUGAAUGUUUGUAUCUUAAUUAGGAGUUUAUUGAGAUGUGAAAGGAAUAUCCGUAGGGCAAGGUUGUUACGAAAUAUAGUUGAUAGUUUUACUGCUGUAUUUGCUAGAGUGUGUAAAUUAGGUACUAUAAGGACGAUUAUUGUUUUUGUGUGUUUAGAAUGACACAGGGUAGAAUAAUUGGGUAUACAUAUACCAUGAAAAUCAUCUGGCUUGUUGGAGAUGCCUGUAAUAUGAAGAUUAAUGUUGAUAACUAAGGUUUGGCAGUAGAGACUCUGGAACUGUUAGGAUCAGUUGGGUAGCACUUAGAUAAUGUGAAUGCUAGGAGCCUCGACAUGAGACCAGUAUUACAUAAUAAGGGGUGCUAGAAUGACUGAAACAGUUGAGUUUUUGCACUAGAUAUGUUUUCUGUGAUUCUCGUCAUGAGACCAGAAAGUUCGUAUUAGUGGUGCGCGUUGGCCAAUAAUGUGUUAUGAUUUCAAUUUUUAUAUUCUGUAUUAUGCAAAAAGAUUUUUAAUCACAUGGUUAAUUUUGAUUUGCGUAUUGGUAAUUAGGCAUCGGUAUUAGGAUCAGGAAACAGCCAUGAUGGGCAGAAGGUAUAGUGGGAAUUUAAUAUAAUUUUUGUUGUAGUCUGAGUGUCGGGACGACACUCAAUUAAGCAGGGGAGUGUGUAACAGGUCAGAAUUGAACUGUUUUAUAGUGAAAAAUAUAUAUCUAUUUCUAAUCAAUAUCUCCUCAGGAGGAAAGUAAGAAGUUUAUAUGUUUACAAAUUGUGUACUUCAAAGAAGUAUGACUCACACAUAUUCCGAGUAGAAGCUAUCAAUUUGGCCAAAACAUGACAUUCCACAGCUAUGAGAGAGUUAAUGAUGUACGAUCACUUGGGCAAAGGUUAGUAACUCGACCCCCCCCCCCCUUCCAGAACACUUGUAAUAACUUAGCCAAACAAACCCCUAAUUGUAUACAUGGAUAAAGAACCCCCAAAACAAAAGACUUCCUGUUUCCCUCCCAAUGAUAAGACCCUUUCUCGGAACAGAUUGUGUAUAGCUAGAACACUGUGAGAGUGUAACUGUUAUAAAGGAAGGCAGAGGUAUUUGACAGAUUCACUCCUGCAUCUGCACCCCCAUCCAUGGGGCAGGCAGGGAGGUCGACUCUGCAAUCUUUUGGUGUAACAUGUCAUUAUAUAGGUGUUGACAAAUUACAAUCAACAUGUGAGAAGUGCGAACGAGAGGAAACGGUCCUCUAGGCCAGAUUGCCAGGGUGAGUGGGUUAUCAUAUUCAAUGUAUAAACCACUAAUUCAAUGUAGUUUUAAUUGGGAAAUUAUGUAUGAUUGUUUGACAAAGUUCACUUGAUGGUUGUAUUCAUUUAUUUGUUGGGAAAGUUAUCCAUAAAGAUGGAAGAACUUUAUUUGUGAUUAGAUACUUGUUAUUUUCAUGCGAUAUUGAUUAAGUUUUAAUGAAUGGAAUAUAAACAACCUGUUUAUCAUUUAUUAUCAUGAGUCGGCUUGACGUCAUAUUGUUGGAAUGCGUAUCUUGGAUUCAUGAACGAAUAUUAUGUUUAUCGCUAUUAUGUGUGUUUUUCAAACAUGUCCUCAUUUCUAUUUUAAUUGUUUUAACUUUGUUUAUUGGUUCAGGCUUUUACUUUGCACCUGAAAUAAAAAGAACCGCAACACAA